rnacentral:rRNA from 1 species
GAUGAACGCUGGCGGCGUGCCUAAUACAUGCAAGUCGAGCGAACAGACGAGGAGCUUGCUCCUCUGACGUUAGCGGCGGACGGGUGAGUAACACGUGGAUAACCUACCUAUAAGACUGGGAUAACUUCGGGAAACCGGAGCUAAUACCGGAUAAUAUAUUGAACCGCAUGGUUCAAUAGUGAAAGACGGUUUUGCUGUCACUUAUAGAUGGAUCCGCGCCGCAUUAGCUAGUUGGUAAGGUAACGGCUUACCAAGGCAACGAUGCGUAGCCGACCUGAGAGGGUGAUCGGCCACACUGGAACUGAGACACGGUCCAGACUCCUACGGGAGGCAGCAGUAGGGAAUCUUCCGCAAUGGGCGAAAGCCUGACGGAGCAACGCCGCGUGAGUGAUGAAGGUCUUCGGAUCGUAAAACUCUGUUAUUAGGGAAGAACAAAUGUGUAAGUAACUAUGCACGUCUUGACGGUACCUAAUGAGAAAGCCACGGCUAACUACGU